CGGCGGACGGGUGAGUAAUGUCUGGGAAACUGCCUGAUGGAGGGGGGUAACUACUGGAAACGGUAGCUAAUACCGCAUAACGUCGCAAGACCAAAGAGGGGGACCUUCGGGCCUCUUGCCAUCGGAUGUGCCCAGAUGGGAUUAGCUAGUAGGUGGGGUAAAGGCUCACCUAGGCGACGAUCCCUAGCUGGUCUGAGAGGAUGACCAGCUACACUGGAACUGAGACACGGUCCAG
rnacentral:rRNA from 1 species